rnacentral:rRNA from 1 species
GAUGAACGCUGUCUACAGGCUUAACACAUGCAAGUCGAGGGGAAACGACGGGGAAGCUUGCUUCCCCGGGCGUCGACCGGCGCACGGGUGAGUAACGCGUAUCCAACCUGCCUCUGACUGGGGGAUAACCCGUCGAAAGUCGGCCUAAUACCUCAUGGCAUCGUCUGCGGGCAUCCAACGACGAUUAAAGAUUUCAUCGGUCAGGGAUGGGGAUGCGUCUGAUUAGCUUGUUGGCGGGGUAACGGCCCACCAAGGCUACGAUCAGUAGGGGUUCUGAGAGGAAGGUCCCCCACAUUGGAACUGAGACACGGUCCAAACUCCUACGGGAGGCAGCAGUGAGGAAUAUUGGUCAAUGGGCGGGAGCCUGAACCAGCCAAGUAGCGUGCAGGAUGACGGCCCUAUGGGUUGUAAACUGCUUUUAUGCGGGGAUAAAGUGAGGGACGUGUCCUUCAUUGCAGGUACCGCAUGAAUAAGGACCGGCUAAUUCCGUG